UACGGGGGGGGCAAGCGUUGUUCGGAAUUACUGGGCGUAAAGGGCUCGUAGGUGGCCAACUAAGUCAGACGUGAAAUCCCUCAGCUUAACUGGGGAACUGCGUCUGAUACUGGAUGGCUUGAGUUUGGGAGAGGGACGCGGAAUUCCAGGUGUAGCGGUGAAAUGCGUAGAUAUCUGGAGGAACACCGGUGGCGAAGGCGGCAUCCUGGACCAUUACUGACACUGAAAAGCGAAAGCCAGGGGAGCAAACGGG
rnacentral:rRNA from 1 species